UUCUUCGUUCCUCAAACGGACUCGUAAAACCACUACCCACAGUAAAAUCUGACUCCAGCUGAAUUGAGGUCAGAGCCUACUACGGAGAACUGGAGCUGUUGGAGAUUUUUCAUUUAUCUACUGGAGGGGCUUCCUCCAAGUUUCUCCUUGAAGUCACUGCACUGCUGACAAAGCUUAAUAUUGUCAGUGAAUACCAGUAACCAUUAAGAAGCAUAAGAGUGGGAAUCGAAGCUUGAAAGAAGAUUCAAAAAGAAUAAAAGAAAAAAAUGUUAAUUUAAAUAUCUGGCUAAUGUGAAAGUAAAUAAUGAGCCAACGCACUGAAUUCCUUAUUUUGGAUGCUUUUGAAGGCUCACAGUGGGUCUGAAGCUGGACUAAUGAGUGUGAAGGAGAAUUCUGACAACGGACACGCCUCGGCCCACUUGGAAGAAUAUGUUUUCUGUUAUUUUAUCUGUUGACUGCUACGGAAAGCAUACUGAAUGGGCCAGAAGAUUUUCAAGGGCCUACAAUAAGGGUCAACAAAUGUGUGGAAGGCAGAUGGAGAACAGGAGCUGAACAUGGAUGAGGAGAGAGCAGCUGAUUUGGAAGUGACCAUUCAAGAUGCACCGAGAAACACAACGUACGAGAUGAGGAAAUGAGGCUCAGAAAGUUUAAUGACUGUACCUAAGGUCACAUAAAAACAACAGAGGAAAUCUAAAGCCUUCACCACUGUGAAAUUGUCCUCUGACAAGGAAAGCACUUGGUUUUAAUGUACUGAUGUGGCUCAUGCAGAGGACCAUGCCUGUCUGGUGAUGCUCUUCAGGCUCGUGGGGAUUUUGACUGUCCGCUUUCAACCCCCGCCACAUUAGAGGCUUCAAAGGGGUGACAUAAUAAUGAAUGCCAUUUCCGAUGUUUUAACAUCAGAGAAUGACCUGUGUGCCCGUCGGCUUUAUGCUUUGUUCAGUAAAAAUAAGACGAUUCUAGAGUUUGCCAAGAGAAAGAAAUGGGAUCAUUUGUACAGUCACAAAUUUGAUCUUAUUUUGUCAGGGGAGGCACUGCCAUCAACUUCCUUUUACCCUUUUAGAUGACAAUUACAUAUAUGUUAGCUGCUUUACUUGGGCAGCCUUUUUUUCUAAUGUUUAUUUAGUUUUGAGAGAGAGAGAGAGAGAG